GUCUUAUCUUCGGCCGGACAUAUACUAAUAUUGGAACGAUACAACGAAGAUAAAAAUGGCCCCUGCGCAAGGAUGACAAUCAAAACAUAGCUACGCCUAAAUGUAUG
rfam:Anopheles merus strain MAF unplaced genomic scaffold supercont2.18, whole genome shotgun sequence.